rnacentral:misc_RNA from 1 species
GAUGAAGAACGUAGCGAAAUGCGAUACGUAAUGUGAAUUGCAGAAUUCAGUGAAUCAUCGAAUCUUUGAACGCAUAUUGCGCUCUUUGGUAUUCCGAAGAGCAUGCUUGUUUGAGUAUCAGUAAACACCUCAAAGACUUCAAUUUGUUUUGAAUGGCUUUGGACUUGAGCAAUCCCAACACCAGUCUUUACGAUCGGUGGAGGGUUGCUUGAAAUGCAGGUGCAGCUGGACAUUCUCCUGAGCUAUAAGCAUAUUUAUUUAGUCCCGUCAUACGGAUUAUUACUUUUGCUGCAGCUAACAUAAAGGGAGUUUGACCGUAUUGGCUGACUGAUGCAGGAUUUCACAAGGGUCGGCAACGAUUCUUGUAAAACUCGAUCUCAAAUCAAGUAAGACUACCCGCUGAACUUAAGCAUAUCAAUAAGCGGAGGA